UACGAAGGGGGCUAGCGUUGCUCGGAAUUACUGGGCGUAAAGCGCACGUAGGCGGCUUUGUAAGUUAGAGGUGAAAGCCUGGAGCUACAACUCCAGAAUUGCCUUUAAGACUGCAUCGCUUGAAUCGCGGAGAGGUGAGUGGAAUUCCGAGUGUAGAGGUGAAAUUCGUAGAUAUUCGGAAGAACACCAGUGGCGAAGGCGGACUCACUGGACGCGUAUUGACGCUGAGGUGCGAAAGCGUGGGGAGC
rnacentral:rRNA from 1 species